rnacentral:lncRNA from 1 species
ACAGUCAAUUGUAAUCCAAGAUUACAGCAAACAAGAUGUUAAUUUCUAGACAUAAUCUAUGUACAUUUCAAUUACAGAGCAUGAUUGUUAUAGAAGCACAGAAUAAAAAAGAAUAACAUUUGUGCUAUCCUCACAGGAGCUGUCAAUAAAAGAUGUAAUAGGGGAUUUAGAAAUCUGGAAAUGGCCAACUAAUUUAUGUGAAUCUAUUUUAUUUCAGCUAGAAAGACCAAGCUCUUUUUCG